rnacentral:rRNA from 1 species
GACGAACGCUGGCGGCGUGCUUAACACAUGCAAGUCGAACGAGAGGAGAAGGAAGCUUGCUUCUUUCGAAUCUAGUGGCAAACGGGUGAGUAACACGUAAACAACCUGCCUUCAGGAUGGGGACAACAGACGGAAACGACUGCUAAUACCGAAUACGUUCCUUAGGUCGCAUGACUUUAGGAAGAAAGGGUGGCCUCUACUUGUAAGCUAUCGCCUGAAGAGGGGUUUGCGUCUGAUUAGGUAGUUGGUGAGGUAACGGCCCACCAAGCCGACGAUCAGUAGCCGGUCUGAGAGGAUGAACGGCCACACUGGAACUGAGACACGGUCCAGACUCCUACGGGAGGCAGCAGUGGGGAAUCUUCCGCAAUGGGCGAAAGCCUGACGGAGCAACGCCGCGUGAGUGAUGACGGCCUUCGGGUUGUAAAGCUCUGUGAUCGGGGACGAACGGUCAGCAGACGAAUACUCUGCUGAAGUGACGGUACCCGAAUAGCAAGCCACGGCUAACUACG